rnacentral:rRNA from 1 species
GACGAACGCUGGCGGCGUGCCUAAUACAUGCAAGUCGAACGAACUCUGGUAUCGAUUGGUGCUUGCAUCAUGAUUUACAUUUGAGUGAGUGGCGAACUGGUGAGUAACACGUGGGAAACCUGCCCAGAAGCGGGGGAUAACACCUGGAAACAGAUGCUAAUACCGCAUAACAACUUGGACCGCAUGGUCCGAGUUUGAAAGAUGGCCUCGGCUAUCACUUUUGGGUGGUCCCGCGGCGUAUUAGCUAGAUGGUGAGGUAACGGCUCACCAUGGCAAUGAUACGUAGCCGACCUGAGAGGGUAAUCGGCCACAUUGGGACUGAGACACGGCCCAAACUCCUACGGGAGGCAGCAGUAGGGAAUCUUCCACAAUGGACGAAAGUCUGAUGGAGCAACGCCGCGUGAGUGAAGAAGGGUUUCGGCUCGUAAAACUCUGUUGUUAAAGAAGAACAUAUCUGAGAGUAACUGUUCAGGUAUUGACGGUAUUUAACCAGAAAGCCACGGCUAACUACGUGCCAGCCGCCGCCGUAA